AAUGAACGUUGGCGGCGUGGAUUAGGCAUGCAAGUCGUGCGAGAACCGUAGCAAUACGGGGACAGCGGCGAAAGGGAGAGGAACACGUGGAUACCUACCCUCGGGUCCAGGAUAGCUGUGGGAAACUACAGGUAAUACUGGAUGACAUCUCCGGAUCAAAGGUGUGAUUCCGCCCGGGGAGGGGUCCGCGUCCUAUUAGCUUGUUGGUGAGGUAACGGCCCACCAAGGCAAAGAUGGGUAUGGGGUGUGAGAGCAUGCCCCCACUCACUGGGACUGAGACACUGCCCAGACACCUACGGGUGGCUGCAGUCGAGAAUCUUCGGCAAUGGGCGCAAGCCUGACCGAGCGACGCCGCGUGCGGGAUGAAGGCCUUCGGGUUGUAAACCGCUGUCAGAGGGGAGGAACUGCCGGUGGGUUCUCCCAUCGGUUUGACCUAUCCUCAGAGGAAGGACGGGCUAAGUUCGUGCCAGCAGCCGCCGUAAAAC
rnacentral:rRNA from 1 species